AUGGCGCAAGAUCCCAACGAAAAAGGAGUUCGAGACGAUCCGCGAGAGCUAGAGGACAUUCCGUUCGACAGCAGCUGCAUCUGGGUCAUGGAUAAGGCAGGCAUCCCGUGCCCGCCACCUGUGACGGAGCGGCUGGUGAUCAUGCGGCGUGACCUGUCCAAGAUGGACACCUACUACUUGCUGCCCAACGGGAAGCGCGUGCGGUCCGGCGGCGACGUGGAGAAGUUCCUCCAGGAGAACCCGGAGUAUAGGGUGAACCUGCCGGCAUCAAAGUUCUCCUUCGCCAUGCCCAAGACCGUUCCGGCGACUGUGGUAGAGAGCUCACUACGGAGGGUUGCCAAGGCCGAGGGAAAAGUUUGA
rnacentral:rRNA from 1 species